rnacentral:rRNA from 1 species
UUUGACCUCGGAUCAGU